rnacentral:rRNA from 1 species
CCUACGGGGCGCAGCAGUGGGGAAUAUUGCACAAUGGGGGAAACCCUGAUGCAGCAACGCCGCGUGAGUGAAGACGUAUUUCGGUAUGUAAAGCUCUAUCAGCAGGGAAGAAGAUCACGGUACCUGAGUAAGAAGCCCCGGCUAACUACGUGCCAGCAGCCGCGGUACUACGUAGGGGGCAAGCGUUAUCCGGAUUUAAUGGGUGUAAAGGGAGCGUAGACGGUGAGACAAGUCCGAAGUGAAAGCCCGGGGCCGAACCCCGGGAGUGCUUUGGAAACUGCCUGACUGGAGUGCUGGAGAGGCAAGCGGAAUGCCUGGUGUAGCGGUGAAAUGCGUAGAUAUUAGGAAGAACACCAGUGGCGAAGGCGGCUUGCUGGACAGUAACUGACGUUGAGGCUCGAAAGCGUGGGGAGCAAACAGGAUUAGAUACCCGUGUAGUC